rnacentral:tRNA from 1 species
GGAAGGGUGGCCGAGUGGUUGAAGGCGACGGUCUUGAAAACCGUUAAGGGUUCACGCUCUUCGUGGGUUCGAAUCCCACCCCUUCCG